rfam:Gossypium hirsutum cultivar TM-1 chromosome 9, whole genome shotgun sequence
UGUUAAAAGUUUCAUCCACUUGUACUGUUAAAAAUUGGCGUAGUUGACGGAAUAACUAGAGAAUGACAUGUGAUAUGUCACGUGUACCUCUUACUGACGUAUAAGAACCAAUUUUUAAAAGUAGAAAUGAAUAAUUUUUUUUUAAAA